UACAGAGGGUGCGAGCGUUAAUCGGAAUUACUGGGCGUAAAGCGUGCGCAGGCGGUUUUCCAAGACAGAUGUGAAAUCCCCGGGCUCAACCUGGGAAUGGCAUUUGUGACUGGAAGGCUAGAGUGUGUCAGAGGGGGGUAGAAUUCCACGUGUAGCAGUGAAAUGCGUAGAGAUGUGGAGGAAUACCGAUGGCGAAGGCAGCCCCCUGGGAUAACACUGACGCUCAUGCACGAAAGCGUGGGGAGCAAACAGG
rnacentral:rRNA from 1 species